rnacentral:misc_RNA from 1 species
UUUCCGUAGGUGAACCUGCGGAAGGAUCAUUAUUGUAUAACCGAGGGUCGAGGUCUGGCGCUGACGCGAAUGGUCGUGCACGCCCGGGUGCUCUCCCACACAUCCAUCUCACCCCUAUGUUCACCACCGCGCGGUUCCCCCUUUGGUUUGUUCGUAGGCGGGCUACCGUUUUCACACCAUCUUUUGUUGAAGUGCAGAAUGUAUUUUUUGUUUUUGUGUUCACGCAAGCAAUACAACUUUCAACAUCGGAGCUCUUGGCUCUCGCAUCGAUGAAGAACC